UUCCUCCUAAAAAGUAAGGGGAAAUGUGUGUGCGUCUUAUGGAAGAAGUGCAGGCUGCGCAGCUGUCAAUGAAGCCAGCAGAGCAAGAGCUGCGCAGUGCCUCUUGUUCUGCUGGCUUCCCAGCGAAGCGGGAGGAGGAAUGGAAGGGAGCCCUUCCGUCCCUCAUCCUGUUUCGAUGGGAAGCCAGCAGAGCAAGAGCCGUUGCGCAGCUAUCGCUCUUGCUCUGCUGGGUUCAGCAGAGCAGCGCAGCUUGC